rnacentral:rRNA from 1 species
AUUGAACGCUGGCGGCAGGCUUAACACAUGCAAGUCGAGCGGGGGAAGGUAGCUUGCUACUGGACCUAGCGGCGGACGGGUGAGUAAUGCUUAGGAAUCUGCCUACUAGUGGGGGACAACAUCUCGAAAGGGAUGCUAAUACCGCAUACGUCCUACGGGAGAAAGCAGGGGAUCCUCGGACCUUGCGCUAAUAGAUGAGCCAAAGUCGGAUUAGCUAGUUGGUGGGGUAAAGGCCUACCAAGGCGACGAUCUGUAGCGGGUCUGAGAGGAUGAUCCGCCACACUGGGACUGAGACACGGCCCAGACUCCUACGGGAGGCAGCAGUGGGGAAUAUUGGACAAUGGGGGGAACCCUGAUCCAGCCAUGCCGCGUGUGUGAAGAAGGCCUUAUGGUUGUAAAGCACUUUAAGCGAGGAGGAGGCUACUCUAGUUAAUACCUAGGGAUAGUGGACGUUACUCGCAGAAUAAGCACCGGCUAACUCUGUGCCAGCAGCCGCCGUAA